ACGGGAGGCAGCAGUGGGGAAUAUUGCACAAUGGGGGAAACCCUGAUGCAGCGACGCCGCGUGAGUGAAGAAGUUAUUCGUAAUGUAAAGCUCUAUCAGCAGGGAAGAAAAUGACGGUACCUGACUAAGAAGCCCCGGCUAACUACGUGCCAGCAGCCGCGGUAAUACGUAGGGGGCAAGCGUUAUCCGGAUUUAUUGGGUUUAAAGGGUGCGUAGGCUGUGCAGCAAGUCAGAGGUGAAAGCCCGGUGCUUAACACCGGAACUGCCUUUGAUACUGUUGUGCUGGAAUACGGAUGCCGUGGGAGGAAUGAGUAGUGUAGCGGUGAAAUGCAUAGAUAUUACUCAGAACACCGAUUGCGAAGGCAUCUCACGAAUCCGUCAUUGACGCUGAGGCACGAAAGUGUGGGGAUCAAACAGGAUUAGAUACCCUGGUA
rnacentral:rRNA from 1 species